GAUGAACGCUAGCGGGAGGCCUAACACAUGCAAGCCGAGCGGUAGAGUUUCUUCGGAAACUUGAGAGCGGCGCACGGGUGCGUAACACGUGUGCAACCUACCUUUAUCUGGGGGAUAGCCUUUCGAAAGGAAGAUUAAUACCCCAUAAUAUAAUGAUUGGCAUCAAUUAUUAUUGAAAACUCCGGUGGAUAGAGAUGGGCACGCGCAAGAUUAGAUAGUUGGUGAGGUAACGGCUCACCAAGUCAAUGAUCUUUAGGGGUCCUGAGAGGGAGAUCCCCCACACUGGUACUGAGACACGGACCAGACUCCUACGGGAGGCAGCAGUGAGGAAUAUUGGACAAGGGGUGAGAGCCUGAUCCAGCCAUCCCGCGCGAAGGAUGACGGUCCUAUGGAUUGUAAACUUCUUUUGUACAGGGAUAAACCUACCCUCGUGAGGGUAGCUGAAGGUACUGUACGAAUAAGCACCGGCUAACUCCGUG
rnacentral:rRNA from 1 species